rnacentral:rRNA from 1 species
GUGAAAGGUCAAUCAAACCCGGUGAUAGCUGGUUCUCCCCGAAAUAUAUUGAGGUAUAGCCUCGGGAAUUGAUUAGCGGAGGUAAAGCACUGACAGAGCUAGGGGUCCUACCAGAUUACCAAACUCUAUCAAACUCAGAAUGCCGCUUAAUUGUAUCCCGGGAGUCAGACGGCGGGUGCGAAGGUUCGUCGUCAAAAGGGAAACAGCCCAGACCAACAGCUAAGGUCUCCAAAUCCAUGCUCAGUGGUGAAGGUAGUGGAACCGUUUAGACAGCCAGGACGUUGGCUUAGAAGCAGCCAUCGUUUAAAGAAAGCGUAAUAGCUCACUGGUCUAAUGGCUCUGCGCCGAAAAUGUAACGGGGCUAAGCAUGGUACCGAAGCUUUGGCAAUCUCCUUUGGAGAUUGGGUAGGGGAGCGUUCGCUGCGGGCUGAAGGUGUGCCGGAAGGCAUGCUGGACUGCAGUGAAGUGAUUAUGCUGACAUGAGUAACGAUAAAAUAUGUGAAAAACAUAUUCGCCGAAAACCCGAGGUUUCCUGGGUAAAGGUAAUCUUCCCAGGGUUAGUCGGAUCCUAAGGUGAGGGUGAAAGCCGUAACCGAUGGAAAACAGGUUAAUAUUCCUGUACUUGUUGUGUAGCGCGAUGGAGGGACGCAGGAAGAUAGGCGGGCCGGGUGUUGGAUAUCCCGGUGCAAGCGUGUAGGAAUAUCCGGUAGGCAAAUCCGCCGGACGAAUCUGAGACGCGAGUCCGUGGGCGCAAGCCCUGAAGCCGUUGAGUCUAUGCUGCCUAGAAAAGCUCCUAAGUUUAUCCACAGCAAUCCGUACCGCAAACCAACUCAGGUGGGUGGGAUGAACAAUCCAAGGCGCUCGAGAGAACUCUGGCCAAGGAACUCGGCAAAAUGACCCCGUAACUUCGGAAGAAGGGGUGCUCUCUAGGGUGACAUGUUUAACAUAUGAAGCCCCGGGGAGCCGCAGUGAAUUGGUGGUGGCGACUGUUUACUAAAAACAUAGGUCUGUGCGAAGUCCUAAAGACGACGUAUACGGACUGACGCCUGCCCGGUGCUGGAAGGUUAAAAGGAGGGGUCAGCGCAAGCAAAGCUCCGAAUUGAAGCCCCAGUAAACGGCGGCCGUAACUAUAACGGUCCUAAGGUAGCGAAAUUCCUUGUCGGGUAAGUUCC